GAGGGUAUAGCUCAGUGGUAGAGUGUGUGCUUAGCGUGCACAAGGUCCUGGGUUCAAUCCCCAGUGCCUCCA
rnacentral:tRNA from 1 species